rnacentral:lncRNA from 1 species
CACCAUCAAGGUCUCCCAACUAUCUAACAAAGAACUCAAAAUAAUAAUAUCUGCAUUUCAUCAUCUAGAGUUAUUUUUAUGGUGCUCAAUUGAUUUACUAAGUCUUGAAAUUUACUCAAGUAUUCUGCUAUUGAUCAUCAAUCUCAUAACUUUCUGAUAAUAAAAACCUUAUUCUAAGCACUUUCAUGUGUAUAUACUUUCUAAUUUCUUUGAAAAAACCUAUACAUUAGCUUUUUUACUUAUGUAAUGGUAGACAAUGAUAUCCACUAAUUGUCGGAUAGUUCUUACAGUUUUUUUGUGCAUUUUCUCCCACUCAU